GGGAGAGUGGGCACCCAGAGAUGACAUGGUUGGCUGUCUGUUGUUCUGCUCUACAUUCACAGGCUGGGCUCAUCAGGGUGAUCAUCAGCCUCUGGAUGACCUGAGAUUGACCAAAGGACAAGAUCUGAAGAGAUGGCCAUGGACCAAGGGAAACAUGUGGAAGCUUCAUCGCUCCCGACUCUUCUGUGUUCCUGAGGACAAUGUGGUGCUACAAGGAAUAGACUGAGCUGCUUCUCCGCUGAACUGCCUUCCCGUGCCUGGUCUGGGACAUCGCUCGGGACUUCAGGUACGUCCUUUUAUUCUGAGGCUAUGGCGUCUGGUCGAAGACUCUCCGACUGGUGGAAACAUCCUCUCCACAUCCACUCUUACUAUUUGGAUCGCUCAGUAUUUGGAGAAACAAUGGGCCUUUGGGAUCUUCAGCGUUGCCCUGCCCUUCAAGUCCACGGCUGAUGAUCUACCUCCAACAUUUUGCUGCACAGUGCCAGAGGGAAAUAUCGAGCAGAAGCCCAUUGAAGCCUCGU